UACGGGGGGGGCAAGCGUUGUUCGGAAUUACUGGGCGUAAAGGGCUCGUAGGCGGCCAACUAAGUCGGACGUGAAAUCCCUCGGCUUAACCGGGGAACUGCGUCCGAUACUGGAUGGCUGGAGGUUGGGAGAGGGAUGCGGAAUUCCAGGUGUAGCGGCGAAAUGCGUAGAUAUCUGGAGGAACACCGGUGGCGAAGGCGGCAUCCUGGACCAAUUCUGACGCUGAGGAGCGAAAGCCAGGGGAGCAAACGGG
rnacentral:rRNA from 1 species